ensembl:lncRNA
AGGAAAUGAAUGCUUCAAGGAGAUCAGCUAGCAAGGAGCUGGGACCUGACAAAAUGUGUCAGAAAGGAAGCAAUUAGAGUCAAAACAGGAAAAAAAAAAUAUCACAGUUUUCUACAUAAAUAUGGGCACAUCCUGCUUGUGAGUACCUGCAGAAUCCCUUAAAGUGAAGGCUGGGUUUACCUGUGUUGUUGAUGGAAGCAGUCCAAAGGCCAGCGCACACAGUCCUGACCAUUUUGGUUGAUCAUUGUUUGGAUGCUUGGUGUUGGUCUUCAGCCCAGAGCUUUCUCAAUGGCCAGCGCUGGGUCCAGGAGCCAGAGAGCACUACGGGGACCACUUGGUUGUUUGCACACUGGUGAACUGAGCCCUUCAUCAAAGCCUUCUUGGACACACAUGAGCCAUCUUGCUGUUCCCAUCUGCAUUUUGAAGCCAAACCCCCUGUGACCUGGGGCAGAAGAUCAUGACUGAUCAGUGGUGGCUUCCCAGGAUGAGGCACAUCCCUAAGGUCAACAUCUGCACACAAGCAGCAACAUGGCGGUUCCCUCAACCACCAGCAAUGCCUUGUCCCAGGACUCAGUUCAAGUGUAAUGGUGCAAUCCCAGAGGGAAUCAUCACCUCCCAGCACAGAGGGCCGUGGGACUGGACUCAGUGAGGGCUCUGCCAACACCUCUGCUGCUGCUGUUACUCACACAGCCAGAAAAUCUGCCCAAAUACAUGCCAAAAACACACAGG